rnacentral:rRNA from 1 species
GACGAACGCUGACGGCGUGCUUAACACAUGCAAGUCGAGCGGUAAGGCUCCUUCGGGAGUACACGAGCGGCGAACGGGUGAGUAACACGUGAGCAAUCUGCCCUUCACUUUGGGAUAACCACCGGAAACGGUGGCUAAUACCGAAUACGACCACUUCAGGCAUCUGAUGGUGGUGGAAAGUUCCGGCGGUGAAGGAUGAGCUCGCGGCCUAUCAGCUUGUUGGUGAGGUAAUGGCUCACCAAGGCUUCGACGGGUAGCCGGCCUGAGAGGGUGACCGGCCACACUGGGACUGAGACACGGCCCAGACUCCUACGGGAGGCAGCAGUGGGGAAUAUUGGACAAUGGGCGAAAGCCUGGUCCAGCAACGCCGCGUGAGGGAUGACGGCCUUCGGGUUGUAAACCUCUUUCAGCGGGGACGAAGCGAAAGUGACGGUACCCGCAGAAGAAGGACCGGCCAACUACGUGCCAGCCGCCGCAGUAAAAC